AUUGAACGCUGGCGGCAGGCUUAACACAUGCAAGUCGAGCGGGGGAAGGUAGCUUGCUACUGGACCUAGCGGCGGACGGGUGAGUAAUGCUUAGGAAUCUGCCUAUUAGUGGGGGACAACAUCUCGAAAGGGAUGCUAAUACCGCAUACGUCCUACGGGAGAAAGCAGGGGAUCUUCGGACCUUGCGCUAAUAGAUGAGCCUAAGUCGGAUUAGCUAGUUGGUGGGGUAAAGGCCUACCAAGGCGACGAUCUGUAGCGGGUCUGAGAGGAUGAUCCGCCACACUGGGACUGAGACACGGCCCAGACUCCUACGGGAGGCAGCAGUGGGGAAUAUUGGACAAUGGGGGGAACCCUGAUCCAGCCAUGCCGCGUGUGUGAAGAAGGCCUUAUGGUUGUAAAGCACUUUAAGCGAGGAGGAGGCUACUUUAGUUAAUACCUAGAGAUAGUGGACGUUACUCGCAGAAUAAGCACCGGCUAACUCUGUGCCAGCAGCCGCGGUAAUACAGAGGGUGCGAGCGUUAAUCGGAUUUACUGGGCGUAAAGCGUGCGUAGGCGGCUUAUUAAGUCGGAUGUGAAAUCCCCGAGCUUAACUUGGGAAUUGCAUUCGAUACUGGUGAGCUAGAGUAUGGGAGAGGAUGGUAGAAUUCCAGGUGUAGCGGUGAAAUGCGUAGAGAUCUGGAGGAAUACCGAUGGCGAAAGCAGCCAUCUGGCCUAAUACUGACGCUGAGGUACGAAAGCAUGGGGAGCAAACAGGAUUAGAUACCCUGGUAGUCCAUGCCG
rnacentral:rRNA from 1 species